AAAAACCUGCGAACAUGGAGGAAAUUGAGGAAAACAUCUAUCUCCCUAUUAAAAGGGCGCAGCUAGCAGUUUUAAGGUCAAUUUUCAAUUAUAGCGUGCCGUACCUUAUAGGUUGGAAUGCAUUUGCAAGCACCAUAAAGGCAGAGGUAUAUAGUCAAAUGAACAGUGCCAACCCCAGAUACAGUGCAAACAAUGAAUGGAGCAGAUAAUGAUCAUCACUUCAUCACUUACUGUAGAUAGUUAGUUACAAAACUAUAUGCUACCUUCUCAACUUUGAAAUUUGUUGAAUCUUUUCAUUCUGAUAGCAUAGUUUUUUGAGAAAUUUUGAGUAUCAUUGUUAGAACACUCAUUUUUAAUUUAUUUAUUUACUUUGAUUCCUU